GGGCCCCUCCCCCCUCGCGCGCCCGGUCAACGUCUGCUGCCGGCGGUGCCUACUAACCUGCUAGUGGGGGAGACCCGCACCGCCGCGACCAAUCCGCUCUUGCGCUCGCCGGACCGGCAGCCAGUGGGCAGGCGGGAAAGCCGGGCUGAGCCCCGGCGCAUCCUGGGAGUCGUAGUUUCUCUCCGUCGAAGAGCUCCUGCCGGGCGGGUUCACCCCGCCCAGUUGCCAUUAGUUACCCUGACGCACCGCCCACCCCACAUCCACGUAAAAUGCUCCCUCGCGUUGCUUCUGGGGCACCUCUCACACUCAUCCAAAUGCUUUUCAGAGCCCGGCGCAGUCUCCUAAGAGCCUUACCGAGACUUCCUCAGAUCCCCUGAAUUGGGAGACUUUUCAGGCUGGGGCCCCAGUGCCCCCCCCCCCCCCGACUCCCACACCCUAAAGCCGACCUUCAUCUUAACUCCUUCCUGACCUGGAUGGCUACUGAAGAGGCGCAUUCCUCACUCUUGUUCCUGGGCCUCAAGGAAGAGGAGAAAAGGUGCACUAGAUAAUGCCCCAACUGAGCAGCUCUGCAGAGGCAGUCACUGAUACAACCAUUUUCAUUUCCUGAUUGGACUCCUGGGAAAAACUCAACUGAUGACCAAGAAAAGAGCCAAGCAGGUGGAGAUCCAUGAGGCCCUUAACAUCAAUCUGGAGACCAGUGCAAGAAAGAUUCUCGAGAAGGAACUGAGGCUCUGAGCAAAGAGGGGACUUGAGCUAGAGGCAUCCUGACUCAGUUACAUCCUUCUUUCCACUCCCCAGAAGGUUUUCUGGGUAAGUCUGGACUUGGGAUGGUCUUAAAAGUUGACAGGCAUCAGAGAAACAAUGGAGGUUCUUCAAGCAGGGAUACGGAUUGGGGAUUCAGGGGAAGAGAGUAUGAAAUUGGCCCAGAUGAACACCGGGAUCCCUCUGAGUGGGGAGAAAGCCCUGAUUCUAUACACUAAGGAUUCCUAACCCAGCCUGGUGGGGCAGAAGAGGUUGGAGAGGGCUUCCAGGAGAAAGUGGCAUCUAGGCUGAGACCUGAAUGAUGAACAGGUGUUGGCUAGACCUCCCAGGGAGAAGAAAUAUGAGCGCAUUUGGGGAACUGGAAUUGGUUCAACCAGGCAGGAGCAGAGUGUGUUAAAAGUGAAGCUGUGGCCAGAUGGGGCAGAGCCUUGUAAGCCACAUUGAGAUCUUAAACUUUAUUUCAGGCCACUGAGGAAUCAAUGGGAUGUUUAUCCAGGUAAUUUGAGCUUUAGACAAAUCACUCUGAUUGCAAUGUGGAGACUGAAUGGCAGGGGACAAACUGGAGACAAAGACUGGUAAGGAGGCUGACGCAGCACCCAGGCAAGAAAGGAGGGCUGCCUGGUGGAGAGAGCAUAGCAGAGACUGAAGAUCUUGCAGAUUUGGGAGACAAUUUAAGAGGCAGAAUGGACUGGAGUUGCUGAUUGAUUGGAAACUGCUGGUGUGUUGGGGGGGGGGGCGGGGAGAGUCAGGCAGAAAGAGAGGAGGUGAGGAUGACCUCUGGUUUCUAGCUGGAGCAGUUGCGUGGGUGGCUGGGUUUAUCCCUGGGCUGGGGAAGAAGAGGGGGAAGCAGUCCCUUGCAGGGAGAGCAAAGGGGAGGGGCUUUGAAGGGUGAGGGGAUUUAGCAGCAGAUGGGGAUGAGGGGGUACUCUUAGUGGAAGAAAGCAGAAUUUCCUCUUUUUAUUCAUUCAAUACAUUAGGGACCUACUAUGUGUCAGACACCAGGAAUGCAGCAGUGAACCAAACAGACCAGGUCCUUGUCCUCAUGAAGUUUACAUUCUAGUGCGUAGAGACAGACAAGAAGCAGAGAAAUAGGUAAAUAUGUUAAGGUAGGGCAGUUGCUAUGAAUGACGAAGAGUAAACGGAGGUGGGUGAUGGAGGCUGCCAUUUGGAUGGGGUGAUCAGGAAAGGCUUCUCUGACUUUUAGGCAGAGAUUUGAACAAAGUGAAGCAGUGAUAUGGGGAGCAGCGGUUCACCCUUCUGGGUAGAAAGAAGGGCAGGGCUUAAAGGGGAGAGGUUCUCUGUAUGCUGGGGCCACGCUAACCAUGGCAGGGGGUGAGUUCGGAAACCGGUUUUGCUUUCUCCCUGUUCUGCCACUUACCAGCUGCAUGAUCUUGGGCGAGGCACUUACCUUCUCUGAGCCUCAGCGUUCUCAUCUACAAAAUGGGUAUACUACUACAGCGUUGCUAGGAGGACCAAACAAGGUUAUGCAUAGUGCCUGGCACAGAACAGAUUUCUCAGUAACUGUAGCCUUUUGUUUUCUUUUUCCGUGGAGGGAUUAAAAGUUAUAGGAUGGAGAAAACUGAUUUCAUUGAGCUGAGGUGAGAAUCUGAUAAAUUCUGUCAUUGAACUCUCGUGGCUACGACUGGCUGGUGCACACCAAUAUGUUCUGUCACUUCCUUUUCCUCUCCCUUCUUUUCCUCUCCCAGCUUCUGACCUUGAUGUAUUUGUUUCCAAGCAAGCCUGCUGAAGAGAGACUGAUACUGGACAAUUCUCCUGACGGCACGGUAUCCUAGGUUCAAUCUAGAAGUCCCUCUUUUGCACCCGAGCCCCCUGUCCCAACCGAUGACUGGUUUCAGUUCACUCUGGGAGGAAGGAAUAAACAGAGAGGGUGUGGUGGAAAAAAUGACUCAACCCAGAGCUUGGUGAUUUUUACAAGAAAGCUCCACCCUGCCCAGGGGUCUCUGUGCUAGGUGGGCGGCUCCAACCCUUAGCAGGUGUGACAUGUUGAGAUUCUAAAUGCUGAACCUCCAAGGACCACUGAACCAGCACCGAGUAGGGGUGGCAGGGUGGAUCUUGGAGGUGGUCAUCUCUGUGCUAGUGACUUGGAUUCAUGCCAGAGCUUGGCCUCUGCAGGCAAAGAAGGAAGAGCAUGUGGAAGGAAGGGGCAUCAGAAGGGGAGGAUUGUAGGGGGCCUCAGGAAGCUGAUCUGUGUGCCCAUGGCUGAGUCAUUGUGUAAUCAGUCACACCCUUGCUCAAUAGCCUUCAAUGGUUCCCCAUUGCCACAGGAUAAAGUCCUAAAGGCUCAACCAGAACCCAGCCUACAGUCUCAGGCGGGCCUGCUACUCUACCCCUUCACAUGCUUCCUACAAUGCUUUCUGCUUAGAAUAAGCAAGACUGUCUUUUUUUUUUCUGAUGCUUUUCUCCAUUUCAUAUAUAUGUGUAGUUGUAUAUAUGUCUAUAUUUCAGUAUGCACACAUAUAUACACACACACUCACACAUCAUAUAUAUA